AUGCUCUGGUUUCUCUUCAUAACAAAUCUUUUUGCCUUUUAUUAAAGAUUUCCACGGAGAGUUUAACAGUUGUGAAUUGAUGACCAAAUUUUUUGAGGCCUUCUUAGGCAGGGCUA
rnacentral:snRNA from 1 species